GGCGAACCGUGCAAACGUUAUUCGGAAUCACUGGGCAUAAAGGGCGCGUAGGCGGCUCCAAAAGUCAGGGGUGAAAUCCGGCAGCUUAACUGUCGCAGUGCCUUUGAUACUGUGGAGCUAGAGGGAGGUAGGGGUCUGUGGAACUUCCGGUGGAGCGGUGAAAUGCGUUGAUAUCGGAAGGAACGCCGGUGGCGAAAGCGACGGACUGGAUCUCUUCUGACGCUGAGGCGCGAAAGCCAGGGGAGCAAACGGG
rnacentral:rRNA from 1 species